ensembl:lncRNA
UUUUCCUGUGGAGUUCUAGCACUCACCUACACCAGUGCUUUGGAAACUUUCAAAGAGCACGUUCUUCAGAGAAGAUUAUGCUUGUACAUGGGUGUAGGCUCUUGCUAUCAUUUAGCUGAUGAAGCCUAAAUACUGUUUCAUAAAGUAAUGGGCACAGCUGUUGAUUUCAGAUGGUUUCAAGAAGAGCUUCCCAGCAGCAGUGCUCCUUCCUUGUAGGGAAUCACUGAGGCAGAGCAUGAAUGAAUGACAGAGGUGUAGUUUUGCGUUGAUCUCCAAAGCAGAGAAGUACAGAACAACUAGCAACAGCAAAAGCAAACCUGUCAGCUCUGAGAGUUCUUUGAUUUCCACUGUGGGUUGGCUUUAAACAUGAAGACAGAGAAAAGGUAUUGUCAUGUGGAAAUUUCUGGAGCCAAUAAUGUGGAUCCUGGACUACCAUUCUCGUUAAGCACAUGCAGUGGUUCCUUUUCAGGAUGCAGAAUGCUAUACAAGUGUCUACACAGAUCAGAAAAGUUGAGUCUUACAAGACCAAAGGAACUGCAAUUUGCCACUGGGCGUACAAUGCUUUAGCCACUAAAACCCAUAAAAGUCCAGUUGAAUCGAGGCAUCUACAGCUCAGUAUGUUGUUUCCUAAUGAUAGACUUCAAGUAUCAGUAUUUAGUUGGAUUGGUUAUAUCCUAAGCAGUGAGAAUGGAAGAACGUGUUUAUCAGAAGGACAUCUCCAAAUUAUCAGAAGGACAUCUCCAAACCAUGUGAAAGAAAUAUCAGUCUGAAAAUAUACAUUCACCAACUCUAGCAACUUUUUCCCCUCUGAUUAUCAAUUAAUGCCCUAGUCAGCAAUGAACCUUAUUUUGUAUCAGACAUUGCACAUGGAAGCAAGAAAGCAAGAAAAACUGCAGCACCUUACUCCAGGGUAAGUAUCUAAAGUCACUUCCAGAAGAACUGAAGAGCUGAAAUGAGAAAGACUGAAUGAGCAUUAGACAUCUGCAAUUCAGAUUAGCCUGAAGUUUUAAUUGCUAUGUUAUCAGAAAUAAGUGCAUUUCAUUGAGCAGUAGCUGUUCAGGAAGACUUGGAGUCAUCAAUGGUAUAUCAUAACGAUGAUGACUUCAUCUCUCCAAAGGGUAUUAGCAAGGAUUCAUUUCAACCUGUCAUUCUAAAAAUGGUGAUACAAGAGUCAACAGUACUUUUCCAGUUUUGCUAUUACUUCACAAGCUAGUUGCAAAUCAAAUGAAUCUUUUCAACAUCUUUAGAAAGAACACGUGGCCCUUCAUCCUCUAAUUGUCCUGAAAUGUCUCCCCCUAAUGUGUCCACAUGUGCCUACAUAUGUGUGAGGGAAAGGAGGAGAAUAUCAAAAUGUAGGCUAAUUUUCUUUUAAUUUUCAAAAUCUCCAAAGUUUUGAUGUGUCUGGAUUGCAUUCUUGUUUUGAUUUAUGACUGUGUAGGUGGAAGGGUGCAGCUGCUCUGAAAUUCCAGUCAUGAUUCUUACCCAAAUAUAGACUAUCUGAAGUGAAUGCUUUUUGAAUCAAGCCAAUUUUUAAUUGGUGAAUUUCAGUAACUGUUGAAAUUAACCAUCUUCAGGACAAUAAGAGACAAAUGACAUGGAGGAUCCAGGGCUGCCUUGUAGCAAGGACCAAAACGAGAUGGGAAUGCAUGAGUAUCAGUAAGUAUCCAUUAAAGAGCACUGUCCAGAGAAAAAGAGAAUUACUCUUUGAUUAAAGAAUAGGAGUAGCCUGAAGCCAGGUAGAGAUAUACAGUUGAGAUAUGACAAGACAGAGAUUCCAUUCCCUAUUUGAAGUUUUGAAACCCUACACAGGCUGAUUAAUUUCUCUGCAAGACAGUGCAUGCAAUGGGAGUGUCAGAGGCAGCUUACAUAGUAGGGAGCUUGUUGAGUUUGAGGAAAGAGAAAAGGAUUGUUUCCUGGCUCAUACUGUUCCCUUUUUAUUCCACGUGGGUCACUUUUAUUUUACAAAAUAAAUAAAUAAAGACCCCACCAUCCCCCCCAAAAAACAACCAACCAGAAACAAACAAACAAAAACAAUGAACAAGCCCUUCUUUGCUAUCUCAUCUUAUCCCACAUACUCAUAUCCAAGCGGUACAAGCAAUAAGGAAUUUCUUAUUUUCUAUUUUGAGGACUGUGCAGUUGUCUUUUCCAGGUGUCAAGAAAAAACAUCCUUUUCAUCUGAAUUUAACAGAUCAGUUGAGCUAGUGGAUUUUUCCCUGAUUUCCUCUGAACAUAAGACAUCCAAUUAUGUGAUACAAAUGUAUGUUCUCAACCACAGAACCCACAGAGUUUGUUGUGAAAUAGUGGCAUCACUUGAUAGUUCAAUUACAGACAGGUCUUGCUUCUUCUGUUAUCUAUAAUACACAAUUAUGCCCACAGUAACCAUGGCUAAGAUAACACAAAUCUUAACUGUGACCAAGUCUCUCAUCACAAGGUGAUCAGGAGCAAUGCCAGGUGUUUAAGCCCCCACUGCUCAGUAAUCAUGGCAAGCAUAUUUCCUGAGUAAAGAUAUGGCUACCACCAGGGACCGGAUUUAACAUAAAAUGUACACAUAAGACAGCAACAACUGUUGUUUGAGCAUCCUUCCCUUAGCACACAUCCUGAAAGGUAAAGCAGAGCUCCGUGUAUGGUAAGCUGCUAGACUGAGGGAAAGGACAGAGCUUUCCAUUUCUCAGCUAACAAACGCAGGUGACCCGAGUUUUCUAGGAUAUUGGAGACAUGGUCAUACAACUAAUCACUCACAUGAGCUUGUGGUGCUUGGAAGCCAUUGCUGCAGAGUUCAUGCUACAGCUCUGGGAAGGCAAUAAAUGUUGUAUUGGAGGGUAUUCUGGCUGCCAUAUGAGCCAUCACUUACAGUUCAUAAAGCUAUGCAGUAAUUCAAAUGAUUUGCAGGGGACAGGGGUAUAACUGCCAAUCUUCUAAAGUUGUUUGAAGCUGAUUACUAGGGAAUUCCUGCAGUUUCAAUAGCAACUGCUGUGUGAUGUCUAUAGCUGGACAUUUCAAAACAUUUUCAUUGUGAGUUGCAAGUCCCUUAGGUCUAGUAAUAAAUUUUUAUGAGGAUUAAAUUACAUAGGGAUCUAACAGUUAUGUCUGUUGUUUACUCUUGAAAUUGAGAAGUAAAAGAAAAUGAAAAUAACGUGGUUGCUCACCUUUGAUUUUAAUAAUUAUAAUAAGAGUUCCCCUGUGUAGCUUGGAUGUCUUGGAGUAUUUUGGGUCAAACUAGUACUUGUAAAGUGAAAAUGGCAGUAAAAAUAUUGCAGAUAAGAACAUCAUAGAAGUCUAUAUUAAGUGACUCUUUAAUCUCUCAAAAUAUUUUUGAUCAUCAAAUGAGGAUGCUUAAAGAAUAUGGGAGUUCAGUAAUACACCAAGCAAAUGAAAAUUAAAACUAAACAAGGAAAUUCUCUUAGAUAAUUUCUGUCACUAAGAUGUUCUUUUUUUUUUUUUUUUUUAUUGGUAGUUACCUUGUAUGUUAAGA